rnacentral:rRNA from 1 species
AUUGAACGCUGGCGGAAUGCUUUACACAUGCAAGUCGAACGGCAGCACGGACUUCGGUCUGGUGGCGAGUGGCGAACGGGUGAGUAAUGUAUCAGAACGUGCCCAGUCGUGGGGGAUAACGUAGUGAAAAUUACGCUAAUACCGCAUACGAUCUAUGGAUGAAAGCGGGGGAUCGCAAGACCUCGCGCGAUUGGAGCGGCCGAUAUCAGAUUAGGUAGUGUGUGGGGUAAAGGCCCACCAAGCCAACGAUCUGUAGCUGGUCUGAGGGGACGACCAGCCACACGGGAACUGAGACACGGUCCAGACUCCUACGGGAGGCAGCAGUGGGGAAUUUUGGACAAUGGGCGAAAGCCUGAUCCAGCCAUUCCGCGUGCAGGAUGGAGGCCCUCGGGUUGUAAACUGCUUUUGUACAGAACGAAAAGGUUUCUACUAAUACUAGGAGCUCAUGACGGUACUGUAAGAAUAAGCACCGGCUAACUACGUGCCAGCCGCCGCCGUAA